CCAGUUCAACCACAACAGAAGAGACGGGAACAGACGGUCCUAUCAGUCAUCAUGACUCCUGAUGCAUAUGGCUGCGUAUUUUUCCCUUCUCUAAAGUAGAACACGGGAUGUGACUAAAUAAUCAGGCCAUUACCCCGAGGGAUAUAAAUCCCUUAAGCCAAAUGCUAAAAACACCAUUUGCCAGUCUCCGUGCAGAAGUAAAAGCAGGGAAUUACAGCACGGCAUCACAGGGAGGAGAUGUAAACCAAAAUGAAUUGCAGGCAGAUGGAUUGCAGGAGAAGAAAAUAUUGCUCUGCCUGGGCCCUCAAUGCAGAUCCAUCUCUAAAUUGGCUCAUUUUUCUCCCCAGAACUCCAUGUACGGUGUAAGAUCCAAGUGAUAACUUGAAAAAGAAAGAGGAAGAAAAAAGAGCAAUCGAGAGCGAGAGAAUCAAAAUGGACAGAAGACGAGUAGGUCUUCAGAAGAGGAGGAGGAGCAGGACAGUGUUCAUGAAUCUGAGGUGACUGAAGGAGUAGCCCAUUGUUUCUUUGAGUGGAAAGUAAGAAGGUUGCAUCCUUGGGGAAGUGUCUAUGUGAAGAGCAAAGAAAUGCAGCGACGUAUUGGCACCCCCGACAGUGGAGUCAGCGCACUGCUAUCUGAAAAGACAUUUGAGAGCACGAGAAUGAUUUUGCAUUUGAGCUGACCUUCAAUUUCCAUCUCAAGCAUGACAAAAAAAAAUAGUGUGGGUUUCCUUUUGUGUUGGUUAUUCUCUUCUUCUUUUCUCUUUGCAAGUUGUGUUCCUCUCUUUUAUUUAUCCCUUUUGGAAAACCUCCUCUGAAUAUCGAGUGCCUCCAUCAGUUGGCCUCUUUCUUAAUCCGUCAACUUUCUGCAUGACCUCUCCGACUGUCUGGAGGAGCAAUCUGUUCCUGUUCCAGGCUGUUUCCUACCUCGCUGAUAGCCUGCUUACUCUCCUUCAGGGCUGCCAAGGACCAAGGUCUCUCCGUGUGACACAUGGCUACUGUGUCAGUCACAGAGUCACAGACUGAAACCAAUACCUAUGGCCCUGCUGCUCCUAGUCCUUUAAAAGACCUCUGGGCUGUAACAUUCGGUCUCUCCCACAGUUGCCAUUGCACGAUGGGGCAUCCGUUGAGCCAGAGCAAGUGGCUGGGAAGAAAUAAGAGGACAAUGUGGUGCAGGAGAGCCCAGAAAAGCUAUGAGGGAAUUUAUGUCAGGGUAUUGUGUAUUGUGAAAUGUUAAAAUCAAUCUGGGUUAUUAGAAAUGCCUUAUGUGUUAGUUUUUCGGCAAGGCAUUUCAGCAGUUAUGGAGUUCAUGAGAGUCUACUAUGAUUGAUGUAUCACAGGACCAAUGGGGUCAAGUUUGUUUUGACCGGGACUUUCUUUCUUGUUCCUGUGGAAUGCAGAGGAGUUUCCUGAGCAGAAGAGCAGUGUGCUGUGUGUGCAUGAGUCGCUUCGGCGAGCACUCAUGGAGAGAAGGACUGAUUUGCUCUGUUUGUAUAUAGAAAUGUAAAUAAAAGUUUAUUGCCGUUGGAUUUCCAACCGAACCCUCAUCUGCUGGAGUGUGUUUGUCCAGUGCUGUUUUUCACACCGGGAGACAGUCUGGAGAGAAGGAGGUGAAGACCGGGAUGGUGAAUUUUUGGAUUUCACUCUGCUACACAUCAUCUCCCCUGACAAUUUAUUUAUUUAUUUAUUUAUUACAAUACUUAUAUCCCGCCCUUCUCACCCACAGGGGACUCAGGGCGGCUUACAAUAAAACACAAUAUAAAAAUAUUACAGACAAUUCAAUCAAUUAAAAUCAAAGACAUUAAAUUUAAUUUAAUGGGGCUGGGCUGUGGCGCAGGCUGUUGAGCAGCUGCAAUAAAUCACUCUGACCAUGAGGUCAUGAGUUCGAGGCCAGCCUGUGACGGGGUGAGCACCCGUCAAUUAAAAAUAAAAAAUAGCCCCUGCUCGUUGCUGACCUAGCAACCCGAAAGAUAGUUGCAUCUAUCAAGUAGGAAAUAAGGUACCACUUAUAAAAAAUGUGUGGAGGCAAGUUUAACUAAUUUACGACCUGGAAUGAGGAAGUGCCGUCAGAGUGGAUGAUGACGCAGCUGCUCCCCCCUGUGGCCAGAAUCGAACAUCCCCUCAGGAGAAGGUUAAAUUGCCUCUGCGUCUGUCUCUGUCUCGGUCUCUGUUUGAUGUGUUUAUGGGCAUUGAAUGUUUUCCCUAUGUGUGUAUAAUGUGAUCCGCCCUGAGUCCCCUUCGGGGUGAAAAGGGCAGAAUAUAAAUACUGUAAAUAAAUAAAUUAAACAUUGAUAAAAAUACACAUAUAAAUACACAAUUGGUGCAUUUCGAGUCUGAUAACUGGUCUGUCAUUGAAUUCUAGGAUGGUAAUAAUUGAUGCUGCUGUUGUUGAUCGAAGGCCUGGUCCCACAACCAGAACAGAAUAAAUUCUCAACCCCUUACAAGUGUUAACCAGAAUUCAGAAAGCAUGAAAUAGUAAAACAAAAAGAUAUUUCAUAUAAAUCAACAGUGGAUUAUAUGUUCUCAAUAGACAUAAACAUAAGAACUGCAACAAUGACUGCUAUAAUGGGUUUUAAAUGGGUUUUAAAAAGUAGAGAAUGUGAUUCAGAUCACCGAAAUAUCGUAUUAUUUGACCACCCUAGGUUUUGUCCCUCUUUGUACCUCUAGCACAGGCAUGGACUGUUGUGGCUCAGCCUUUGCCUUUGCGUGAUUUUUUUAAAAGAUAAUUUUUUAUUCAGCUUUUUCAAAUCAACAAUGACAUAGACAUGGACGUAUAAUAAAGUAAAAUGCAAAAUUGAGAGCAGGGUUGAAAAAGAAAGAGAUAGAGAGAGGGGAAAGGGAAGAAGUAAAGGGGGGGGGAAGCAAAAACAAAAAAUACAAACAGACCAAGAAAAGCCAAAAGAAAUAACACUAAAAUUGACUUCCAUCUAUUGCAUGGUGACGUUAUGAUUUUUUUGUCUUUAUAGCAAUUCAGAUUUGUUCUGGUAGCUUUUUUUUUCAUGUCAGGAGCAACUGGAGUUGCUUCUGGAGUGAGAGAAUUGGCUGUCUGCAAGGAUGUUGCCCAGGGGACAUUGCCCAGAUAUUUGGAUGUUUUUAUCAUCCUUGUGGGAGGCUUCUCUCAUGUCCCCACAUGGAGCUGGAGCUGAUAGAGGGAGCUCAUCCGAACUCUCCCCGGGUGGGAUUCGAACCUGGCAGCCUUCAGGUCAGCAACCCAGCCUUCAAGUCACAAGGCUUUUAUCCCCUAGGCCACUAGAGGCUCCCCUUUCUGGUAGCUCAGUCCACUCCUAUUCUCCUAUUGUAAGGCUCGGUUUUUAGUUUUGCAUACUUGGAUCUCAUAUGAUAAUUCUCAUUUUUUUCCUCUCUUGAGUAAUUAAUGCCUUUGUGUAAUUCUGAUGUGCCUUUGCAUGACUCUGAUGAAGAUUGUGGGUUAUAUGUGCAUAAUGAUGGGAUUCAGGAUGAAUUUGAGGAUGACUCUGAUGCUGGGAAUUAUAGGAGUUGUGGGAAAUCAAGAGCAGGGAGUUGUUCCCAUGGAAAUAAAUCAUGAUGUUGUUUCUAACGAAGAAUUUCAGGUGCAGGGAGUAGAAAGGGAGGAUAACGCUUUGCCGCCCGAUAAUGAUCUCAGUGGCCUUGACUCUGGGGAUCUCGAUCGGGCUACGAGACUGGAAUUUAGAGGGUUGUGGAGAAGUCUUUGCAUAGGUAAUAAACGAGAGUUCAAAGAGAAACUGAACACCUUUAUGUCAUGCUUUUUAAACAGUCUGUUCGCAGAGAGCUCUCUGUCAAUGCAACUCCAUCGCUUGAUCUAGAAGCAAGUCUGCUUUCCUGUAAUAUCUCGUGGAUAUAUUCUGUUUGCUGGGACCUUUGGCUUCCAUGAAAAGGACCUUGUUCUAUGGACUUAUUGCUUACAGCCUUAGUUUUGUACCUAUCUUUUGGAACUGAACUUUUCCCCUUUUAUGAACUAUCCUUUGCCUAUUUUCUAAAUAAACUACAAAAGACUA